rnacentral:rRNA from 1 species
CCUACGGGAGGCAGCAGUGAGGAAUAUUGGUCAAUGGACGAGAGUCUGAACCAGCCAAGUAGCGUGAAGGAUGACUGCCCUAUGGGUUGUAAACUUCUUUUAUAAAGGAAUAAAACGAGGCACGUGUGCCUUGUUGCAUGUACGUUAUGAAUGAGGAUCGGCUAACUCCGUGCCAGCAGCCGCGGUAAUACGGAGGAUCCGAGCGUUAUCCGGAUUUAUUGGGUGUAAAGGGGGCGUAGAUGGGUUGUUCAGUCCGUUGUGAAAGUGGGCGGCUCAACCGUAAAAUGGCCAUUGAUACUGUCAGUCUUGAGUACCGUUGAGUUAGGCGGUAUUCGUGGUGUAGCGGUGAAAUGCUGUGAUAUCACGAAGCACCCCGAUUGCGCAGGCAGCUUACUAAACUGUGCCUGCCAUUGAUGCUCG